rnacentral:rRNA from 1 species
AUUGAACGCUGGCGGAAUGCUUUACACAUGCAAGUCGAGCGGCAGCGCGGCCUUCGGGCUGGCGGCGAGCGGCGAACGGGUGAGUAAUUCAUCGGAACAUGCCCAGUCGUGGGGGAUAACACUUCGAAAGAAGUGCUAAUACCGCAUACGUCCUGAGUGGGAAAGCGGGGGAUCGCAAGACCUCGCGCGAUUGGAUUGGCCGAUGUCAGAUUAGCUAGUUGGUGGGGUAAAGGCCUACCAAGGCGACGAUCUGUAGCUGGUCUGAGAGGAUGAUCAGCCACACUGGGACUGAGACACGGCCCAGACUCCUACGGGAGGCAGCAGUGGGGAAUUUUGGACAAUGGGGGCAACCCUGAUCCAGCCAUUCCGCGUGAGUGAAGAAGGCCUUCGGGUUGUAAAGCUCUUUCGGCAGGAACGAAACGGUGGGCUCUAACAUAGUCCGCUAAUGACGGUACCUGAAGAAGAAGCACCGGCUAGCUACGUG